rnacentral:rRNA from 1 species
ACGCCGCGUGAACGAUGAAGGCCGUGAGGUUGUAAAGUUCUUUUCGGGAGGAGGAAUAAGCGGGGCAGGAAAUGGCCCUGCGAUGACGUUAAUCCCGGAAUAAGCCCCGGCUAACUACGUGCCAGCAGCCGCGGUAACACGUAGGGGGCGAGCGUUGUUCGGAAUCAUUGGGCGUAAAGGGCGUGCAGGCGGCCCUGCAAGUCCGGCGUGAAAUGCCCCGGCUCAACCGGGGAGACGCGCUGGAAACUGCGGGGCUGGAGUACAGGAGGGGAUGCCGGAAUUCCAGGUGUAGGGGUGAAAUCUGUAGAUAUCUGGAGGAACACCAAUGGCGAAGGCAGGCAUCUGGCCAUGUACUGACGCUGAGACGCGAAGGUGCGGGGAGCAAACAGGUUUAGAUACCCUGGUAGUCCGCACAGUAAACGAUGUGCACCAGGUGGCGGGGGGUCGACCCCCGGUACCGAAGCUAACGCAUUAAGUGCACCGCCUGGGGAGUAUGCUCGC